GCACCUACGGGAGGCAGCAGUGGGGAAUAUUGGGCAAUGGGCGCAAGCCUGACCCAGCAACGCCGCGUGAAGGAAGAAGGCUUUCGGUUUGUAAACUUCUUUUGUCAGGGACGAAGCAAGUGACGGUACCUGACGAAUAAGCCACGGCUAACUACGUGCCAGCAGCCGCGAUAAUACGUAGGGGGGCAGCGUUAUCCGGAUUUACUGAGUGUAAAGGGCGAGUAGGCGGGAAAGAAAGUCAGAUGGGA
rnacentral:rRNA from 1 species